GCCUCCCUGAGAGGCCGGGAUUGAGUGGAAUAGCUUCAACAGGAGAGACUGAGCAAGCCCCACAUCAGAAUAUCCCACAGCUCAGUGGUUAGAGCCCUCUUCUGAGAGGAUUUGAACAGGGCUCUUCUUCCUUUGUCCCCAUCAAGCAAAGGGGUGGGUUUGAACCUGGGUCUCCCAUGUCCCAGAUAUUUCUCUCCCCAAAUCCUCUUCCGACAGCCUCAGGAAUCUGUUUUACAAUCCUCACUGGUGUAAUUAGCCCUUCAUAAUAUUAAGAACCAUAGAGUCCUUUCUGCUGUGCAUCUCUGAGAAUCAAAACACUUGAGUUAUCUAAUUAAUCACUCCCUGAUUCUUCUGUGACCAUGUUACAUAAAACACUUAUACAUAAAAUAAUCAUUGCAUGAAACAAAUGUUGCAUAAAACAAUUCUGUGUAUCUGAAUAAUUUUAUUUUUCCAUUGUUCUUGUCUCCAGUAUGAGGCCAUCAUGACAGACAAAGUUAUUUAGUUGUAUUGCUUUUCAAAGUGUGGUCAACAGACUAUGGGUUGUUCCUGGACCACUUCCAGGUGGUAUGCAGAGCUGUCUUCGUCACAAUGGUGAAGCAUGUCCAUUUUCAGGAAAUGAUGCUUCCUCCUACAUGUGGCUUAACACAAUGAGCCUUUCUGUGCACCCUCUAUGGCUGCUUAAUGUCUUUUAUUCUGGCUGUUUCUUUGACAUAAAUCCAACUGUGAUCAAGUUUGCAAAUUAUACAAAAUUUGAGGAGGACUGAAUACACAGGAAAGGGCUGAACUGCAAAGUCAACUGGAGACUGCAGGAGGAAGGCUAAUGUAGCUGAUAAUGCAUUGGACUGACAUCCAGGAGACUGAGCUUCAUUUCCUGGUUUUGCCACAGACUAGUUGUGUGACUUUUGGCAAGUCAUGUCUAUCUGUGCUUCAGUUCCCCAUCUGUAAAGUUUGUCUUUCUCCCGUUGUUUGUCUGCAUUGUCUAUUAGAUUGUAAACUGUUCAGGGUAGGAUUCUCUUACUAUGUUUGUACAGUACCAUAAAAUAGGGCACCUAGUUCAGUUGGUGCCCAUCAGGCUACCCAGAUGGUCCAUCAGUUAAAAAGAGCAGUAGGAGAGAAAUACUACAGGUAUCUAAUCCUAGUAAACGUGGUGUAUCAAUACCCUGAAGAGCAGGGAACAGCACAAACUGGAACUUGCAUUAUUGUGCAUUGCAGAGGUUUGUAGGAACAAUUCUUUAAAAAGAAAAGAAGAAAGAAGUCUCAACCAAAACCUUGGCUUCAGAUUGACCUAGACUUUGGGUGUGUUUGAGGUCUGAACCCACAUCUGGAUCCAAAUUUUGCAAAAGGCCCUUUUCAAAAUGUUCUGGACCAAAACACUGGGUGAUCAAGACCCAGAUCUGAACUGUGUAGCUUAGGUCCAUCUCUAACAUCAAUCCAUAUAUUCUUUUCGCACAGCAUUUCUCCACUAAGGGCUUCCAUUUUGAACUAUUCCCAAAUCUCAAAAAGCAAAACACCCACUAAGGUUUAUGUCAAAAUAUGUGAAACUUGCAGAUUUGUCAUGGUUUCAAUACAAAGCGGUAAACCAGUACAGAUCUGCUCAAAAUUGGGCUCAGACUCAGUUAUAACUAUGUGCAGGCUUGCUUGAAGAUUAAUGGAUAAGAGGAAGCCUUUUCAAUAAGCCUGGUCUGCAUUCUUUUUCCAGAAUGGGUGAGUUUUAAUGGGUGUGGGGUUUUGCCUUGCCCAUAUUGCACAGUGCCAUUGGGCACACUUUCCCUUGUGGGAAAGCAACAACUCGGAAUGCACUCUAUUUUGCGGUGAUGAUAUGGCAACUUAAGGGAGCAGGACAGAGGACACAUCAGGGGGAUUUGUACAAAAGCUUAAAGCAGGUUUUGAACCUAUGAAAUCUAAUAAAGCUAUGAAACACACUUUUUGCUUUAGCCUAUAUUCGAGAGGAGCUAAGGGAAUUUGCAGAGAGUUUAGCAGCCAGUGAAGGUAUAAUAUUGAGUUGCACUAUUUGAAGGCCACAAAUGCAUUUAAUCUUGAUGGGCCAAUAAUGGAAGACAUUUAAGCCUAUGUGCCCAAUUCCCCAGUGCUUUGUACAUAAUGUAGUUAUGUAUAUCUGUGUAAAGCAAAUGUAAAAUGCUGCCAUUGAUUUUUGUAGUAUCUUACUCCC